UUCAUGAAAAAGUUAGAGCUUUGCUACAGGAUAUGCCCUCUACAAGCCAAGGAAGUAAAAGUAAAGAUUCACAUGUCAUUGGAGUAAAGAACCAUGAUCAGAUCGCCAACUGAGAAGACUUUUGCACAAAAUGAAAUUGUUCAG